GCGCAGAUUCGGUUCAUCGCUGCCUCGCAAGAGGGGGAGGAAAGUCCGAGCAACACAGAGCACCGUGCAAGUUAACGGCUUGAUGUUCGAGAGGGUAUAGUAGCGUAACAGAAAAUAACCGCCCGGGCAGUAAGCGUCUUUCGAGAUGCGUCAGGGUAAGGGUGAAAAGGUGGGGUAAGAGCCCACCGCGAGGGCAGCAAUGUCGCUCGGUCAGUACGCCUCACGGGUUGCAAGGUUAUGUAUAUCGGCAAUUAAGGGUUGCUCGCCCGAUGCCGAGGGGUAAACCGCUGGAGGUGGCAAGUGAUUGUCAUCGUAGAUAAAUGAUGGACUAAAACAGAACUCGGCUUAUGGGGUCUGCAACCUU
rnacentral:RNase_P_RNA from 1 species